UACGUAGGGUGCAAGCGUUGUCCGGAAUUAUUGGGCGUAAAGAGCUCGUAGGCGGUUUGUCGCGUCUGCUGUGAAAACUGGAGGCUCAACCUCCAGCCUGCAGUGGGUACGGGCAAACUAGAGUGCGGUAGGGGGAGAUUGGAAUUCCUGGUGUAGCGGUGGAAUGCGCAGAUAUCAGGAGGAACACCGAUGGCGAAGGCAGAUCUCUGGGCCGUAACUGACGCUGAGGAGCGAAAGCGUGGGGAGCGAACAGG
rnacentral:rRNA from 1 species